AAUAGCACUAGUAACCGUAUUCAAUACCGUUCUACGGAUGAAGAGAUGUAUUCACUUUUUCAUCGUGGAAGACCGAAUGCAGGGAUGAGCCUCACAGGCCAGGCAGUUCCCGUUCAUCAGGCUAACUUUAACCAAAGUGGUCCAACAGCGCCCCUUCUCAGCGUUAAUACAGAGAGGAACACACCUUCAACUUCACAGAUGCCCCCCGCAGCAGCCCCUAUCUACAACCUUCGCCCGUUCACUCGAAGGGGCCCAAGGAACAAGAGGUUCCACGGACAGUUAAGCAGUUCUGUGGCUCAUCCCUUCACCAGAGAGGUAAUUCUCCUGCCAGACCAUACAUAUACAGAUGUGCCAAGGCGUGCCAGGAAAGCUUGGCUUUUUGAAAAUGGACAUA